rnacentral:rRNA from 1 species
CGCCUGUUUAUCAAAAACAUCUUUUCUCGUUAGUUUUUGAAGUAUGGCCUGCCCACUGACUGUUUUUUAAGGUGCGCGGUAUUUUUACCUUGCCAAGGUAACAUAAUCAUUAUUUCUUUAAUUGUGGUCUGGUUUGAAUGGCUUGGCCAGACAUAAACUGGCUUGGAAUUAUUAUUUAUUGAAUUUGGUUUUUUAUUUAAAAUUCUUAAAUGUUUUUAUGGGACUAGAAGACCCUAUAGACUUUUACAAUUUUCCCAUUUAUUUGUUGUUUGUUUGUUUUUGUUGAGUGGUAAGGAUUGGUUUGUUGGGGUGAUGGGAGGAAUAAUAUUUAUCUCCUCUUUGAUUUUGUAUAUUUAUUUAUAUGUAUUUGAUCCAUUUAUUUUGAUUAUUUUAUUAAAUUACCUUAGGGAUAACAGCGUAA